CACGGUGUAGCGGGAGCGGCCCACGGCGAAGAAGCCGUCGAGGCCGCCGCAGAGGUUGAAGACGGCGAGCGAGCGCGGGCUGCCGUCCACCGUGCCGCGGUAGUGGCAGCGCGGCCCGUCGCGCUCCAGGUCGAGCAGGAAGCGCUGUCCCCCGGCGUAGAGCACGUAGCCCGCCCUGCCGCCCCCCGCGUAGGGAAGAGCCGGGAGCACAUGGAAGGGGAAGAGAGAGAGAGAGGGAGAGAGAGAGGCAAAAAAAAAAAAAAAGAAAAAAAAAAUCCCAAAUCGCUGCUGCCGGGGAGGCAAAGUGAGGAGAGAGGAAAAGGAGGAGAGACGGCUCGGAGCCGGCAAGUAGAGAAGUUUGAGCACUUCCCACUCCUCUUGCACUUCUCCGCUGCAGUCACCGGAUCAUCACCAGCAGCAGCAGCAGCAGGGCAGGUCUGCUGCGACUCGGCACUUUCUCGGGCUCCGGUGGGCUCCUUUCCUUCUUUUGCCCUCUUUUGUUUUGAAGAGGAGAAGGGGAGAGAAGAAAUUCAGGCACCCCAAACCGCCUCGAUCGUCUCCGGUGAGAUGGUUAAAAAGGGAAAAAAAAAAAAAAAAAAAAAAAGGAAAAAAAAGCCCAAAAA